rnacentral:lncRNA from 1 species
AGACAAAAAUGUCCCGUAUCGUUUUUGCCCAUUUUACUCUUUUACCUAUAUUCCUGAUGUUUCUCCCCCAUCAUGAACUUAACAUUCUCAAUAUUUUUUCUUUUCUUUUUUUUGGUCCGCCCCCUGGCAUAUGGAGUUCCCAGGCCAGGGAUCAGAUCCGAACCACAGUUGCGACCUAAGCCACAUCUGCCUCAAGGCAAGCUCCCCAACCCCCUGUGCUGGGCAGGGGAUUGAACCUGCUUCCCAGCACUCUCAAGACACUGCCAAUCCUGUUGUGUCACAGUAGGAACUCCUCUCAAGGUUAUUCUUUUUUUUAAAGAUUUUUUUUUUAGGGUUUCACUUGCAGCAUAUGGAAGUUUCCAGGCUAGGGGUCAGAAUUGGAGCUGCAGCUGCUGGUCCAUGCCACAGCCACAGCAACAUGGGAUUGGACUCAUGCCUGUGGUCUACACCACAGCUCAUGGCAAUGCCGGAUCCUUAACCCACUGAGUGAGACCUGCAUCCUCAUGCAUACCAGCUGGGUUUGUUACCUCUGAGCCAGAACGGGAACUCCUCAAGAUUAUUUUUGUAAGCUUUGGGUUCCAUAAAGCCAGGGUCCACCUUUGGGUGUGUGAAAGUAACGUUGCAUGUGAGCAUCCUUGAAUACACAGCACCAUGCAAAAAAUCCUAUGUGCAUUUCGAUAGGAUAAACUCAUAAAAGCAGAAUUGCUCUUGAGAUUGGAAACUAGAGGAUGUAUGUGCCCUUAAAGUAGGUGAGAAGAAUGAAGAGAAAUGAGAAAUUGAGAUUUCAAGAAUUAACUAGGGAUUUAUCAAAAAAGAGAGGAACUUUACAGUGUAUAUAUAUAGGCUGUGCUUUCAACUAGGUUUGAAGGAUAAUGAGGAGGGAUUUGGCAAUGCCAUGGGAUUUAUCCUGAGUAUUUGAAUAGCAUCUUGUCUUAUGGACACAAAGACUGUUUGCAAAGAAAAUCUCUGUGAGCUAUUGUAUACCAGGGCCUAGAGAAUCCGCAGGCAGUUCAUGGGAGGUUUUUCACAGUCGUGGGGAUCUUGAGCUUGGGAGAGUAGGGCUUUCCUGGGGGGAGAACUUAUACCAGGAGCCCUUCCUGGGAAUAGAGAGCACUGUUUGAAGCUGACAUCCCCGGAAUCAGAGAGGCAAAAUAUCAGAGCCUGCUUUGUGGUUGGGAGAACCUGUGAGGCACCUUCUUGUAGCCUUACAGUACUUGCAAAGGAAUGACUGAGGAAGAGCCACGUCAACACAGGUUCGCUGAGCCUGUGAGAUUUAAAGGAAAAGAUGAGCAGCUCCGUCUUAAGUGCCCAGGGAUGCUCACACCUUGAUUGUACAUUAAAAUAACCUAGACCCUCCUUUUAUAAAUCCUGAUUCCUAGGCUGCUCCCUGACUAAUUAAAUCAACCUUUGAGAGUGGAACUUGGCGUCGGUAUUGUUCAAGCUCUCCAGCUGAUUCUAAUGGAAUUAGAAAUUGCUAGCGAUGAGUAUCUGUCAGAAGGACUUACAGAAUGUGGACUUUACUAGUAAGGCUCCGAUCUGGAAUAUGCCCUCUGGUUGUGCAGCAUUUAGGAAAGCUUUCCCUGUGCUAUCCCUCUGCAACUUACUGGCUUGAGCUUAGAGGCUCUGACUGUUAGCAAGUAUGUAUAUCUGUGGGUAUUACAGCUACGGUAUGUUUACUGUUUUACUGAUUAAAACACCACUGCAGGUGCAGUAACUAGCUUCUGUUAGGUAUUUGUCAAAUGGGCUUUUCCUUGGGUUUAUUUUUUUGGACUUGACGCUUCCUUACAAUGUCAUGGCAAUUAAACAUCGGCAUUUCACACAGAGUGGCUUUGUCUCCGUAAAAUUUAUCAUCUGAGGUGGGGAACUGCCUUGGAUUCACCCGCAGUUAUUUCUUGUAAUUAGGGCUGCCCUCACAUGUAAUAAUGCUCUCUCUCCCGUGAGAUCCCAGAGAAUACAUUUAAGGAUAAGGACCAUUUAAUUCUCCCUUAGCGAACUGAUCCCUUGCCCGAGUGUUCCAAUUUGUACUGAAAAAAUUUGUACUCUGUGGAGUUAGUCCUUAAAUGAGUGUGUGUUGUUCUGUCACUUUUCAGUGAAGAUGUCUAUAAAAUUUUUCCUUUAGUUUAAGAAAGGUAGAUCCAGUGGCAGAUAAGGAAUGACGACAUGCAGGGAUUGACUUAGGUUGAAUUCCUGGGACGCACACUCUGCCGGAUGCUUCAUAAGGAGCGACCUUAGGACCAGCACUUGCUGGAGAAAGGGAAAAAUUAGGAGGCGGAGAAUUUGAGCUGCAGUCUAGGCCGACCAGUACUCUUAUCUGAACCCACGGGGAGCUCUGGGGCUAGACUGGUCAUUCAGAAUUGUCCUGAGCUGUGCAUAGAGGGUCAGGACUUUAAACUUCUGCAUCUAUCAGCCAUUCGAUAGAGCCGCCCCGGGAAGUGGCAUGACCUUGGACAUGGCAGCUCUGCAGCUGAGGAGGUGGCUAAAAGCUGGCAGCUCUCUCCGCAGGGGGCUGGGAGCCCUCCCUUGCAGGGUCAUCUGGGCAGCGUAUCUCAGGGCCCAGCGCGAAGGUGAAAGAAAUCUGUCCCUGCAUUUGCAAAGUCUGUGGCUUGGUGAGCCAGAAAAGGAAAUUAUUCCGUCUUCCGCGGUAUUUCACGGUCAGUGCUGUGACUAAGGGGGAGGAAGGCUGACGUGAGCACACACACAGAGAAAGGAAGGGGGGGGGCAGUGUCCAGCCACGCAGGCUUUUCAGCAGGCAGCCUCCCCCUUACAGAGCCACAAAGUCAUUCACUGCUGGGGACGGGGAGCAGUUAAAAUGGGCAGAGGGCAGAAACAGUGCUGGGUCUGCUAUCUAUUUGGUGUUCAUCAAAAGGAGAGUGAUGGGUUGACUUUAAAUAGAACAAUGUACAAACCAAAGCCUUCAUUUAAGUGUGCAUUUUUUUUUUCCCCUUUUUAGGGCCUCACCUGAGGCAUGUGGAAGUUCCCAGGCUAGAGGUUGAUUCGGGGUUGUAGCUGCACCAUGGCCACAGCACCACGGGAUCUGAGCCUCGUCUGUGACCUAACCUGCAACUCACAGCAACACCAGAUCCUUAACCCAUGGAGCGAGGCCAGAAAUUGAACCUGCAUGCUCAUGAGUACUCAUCGGUUUCUUACCUCCCUGAGCCACAAUGGGAAUUCUGAGUCUGCGUCUCACUAGAUGGCAAGGGCAGGGGCACACUCGGCAAGAUUUUUUGUUGUUGUUGUUCCCUAACGGCAUCUUCUACGGGACACAGACUGUGAUCAGGUGAAAAGUAAUAAAUAUCCAUCCAGGCCCCACCAACUCCACUUCCUUACCUUCAGCAACAUUGAUCCGAGCCCAGCUGCCACGGAGAAUUUGCAGCCCAGUAGUUGUGUCUGUCGAUAUAAAAGCCCGAGUCAUUUUCCUGCUGACACAUGUUCCACGUUCCCCCUUCCUUUGGCUCAGAGGAGGGGUAGAGGAGAAAACUGACCAUGGAGCAGCCACUGAUUUAUACUUCUUUUCUGGACCAGGGAAUUCAUAUUGAUUAGUUGGAUGAAUGAGUCUGUCCCUUUGUUUCAAAUGAUUAGAGUGAGUGUCUGCCCUUGGAAUAUAUCACGGCUCCACUAUGACAUCAGGAAUAAGAUCCACUGUGUUUUUUGUAAAUCUCAGUGCCUUUCCCCUACUUAUGAAAUACACCUGUCGAUGAUACUUAACCUGGUUAUGGAGAAACAGGUCUUUACGGGAGUCUGAAAAAUAGGUUUGCCAGCAGGGACGCCAGAAAGUGUCAGAUUCUUUUUUGGGCUCUUUCCUGUUGCCUAAAGCAUUUAUACUGAACUUGUCAUCAAAGCAGUUGAUGACAUUUGUUGACUCAUCUGAAUUCAAUUUUCUUUUUCUUAUUCUGUUGUGGGAUUUCAUAGCUGAUCAGUGCUUAUCCAAAUAACUUCUGGCUGGAUUUCUCAUCUGUAAAACUUAGUGGGGGAAAACAACCACCAUAGAAUGAAUUUCUGUAUUUUAAUGGAAUUUUUUUUUUAACAUUUAUCAUUAACAUGUUUACAGAAAUAUAUUUAACAUCUUAUGUUUUCCAAGAAUUGUCUAGCUGAGGUGACUCUAUAUGGAGAAUAUGGUUUUUCUACUGGUCUCUCUGCUCCAUUAUGAUUUUUGAAGGAAAAGAUUCUUUUUUUUUUUCCCAAAAUUUGCUUUGAUGCUAAAUUGGUAGAAAUUAAUUUAUUCUCUGGAGCCCAGGAUUCUGUCCCUGAAUUCUUCUCUUGAAGAAUUGGUACAUCCUACUUUUUCUCUGGAGGAUCUUAAAACAAACAUGCAUCCUUCUCAGCCUGGCUGUCUUUCAAAUAUUGAAGGCAAUUCUAAUGUUUUCCACUGAUUUUCUCUUCCCUUAAUAGACUGUAGUUUCUUGAGCUAUUCAUAAAUUAAUCGAAAAUUAAUAAUUUUUGAUGCUGUCUGUGUAUCGAUUGCCCUUUAAGUGGUUGCGGUCCAAAGAAGUGCCUGUAAUCCCCAGGCUCCACCAGCAGGAAUUCAUGUCUUCCUUAUCUGUGUUCUAGUGGAAUCAGGCACCUCAGCUGUAACAUCGACCCUGUGCUACCCAGGCAAUGUGUCGUUAUCUUAGCUCUUAUUCCAACAGUGCCCUGAGCCCCUUUGUUGCCCAGUGACCGGGAGACGUUUCUAAUCACUUGGACCUCUCUAGGUCAGGAAAUUCAUACGUGGAUGGGAUGAGAGAAUAGGGGAUGUGGUUAAGGAUGAGCAAAGUGUAAUUAAUGAAAAACCUUUGUAAAGAACCAUCAAUUUUUUUUGCAGUGCUUUCUAGGUAUCAUACAGAGUCGUCUCUG